CCUGGCUCAGGACGAACGCUGGCGGUGUGCUUAACACAUGCAAGUCGAACGCUGAAGCCCAGCUUUUGUUGGGUGGAUGAGUGGCGAACGGGUGAGUAACACGGGAGUAACCUGCCCCCUUCUUUGGGAUAACGCCCGGAAACGGGUGCUAAUACUGGAUAUUCACUGGCUUUCGCAUGGGGGUUGGUGGAAAGGUUUUUCUGGAGGGGGAUGGGCUCGCGGCCUAUCAGCUUGUUGGUGGGGUGAUGGCCUACCAAGGCUUUGACGGGUAGCCGGCCUGAGAGGGUGACCGGUCACAUUUGGACUGAGAUACGGCCCAGACUCCUACGG
rnacentral:rRNA from 1 species